rnacentral:lncRNA from 1 species
CCGGGCAGGCUGGGGCUGCACCCAUCAGCCAGGGCCAGGACCCGGCUCAGCCACGGGGCUGCCGGCUGCCAGGCAGGCAGGCUGCUUGGGGACACACAGGCUCACUGUGUCCUCGGCUCCAUGGCUGGCCAGGGGAGAAAGGGGAAGGAAGAGACAGGGUGGAGGGACCGGGAGGGGGAGAAGGAGGGCCCGGGAGAGGCCGGAGCGCUGGGCCCAGCCGCCAGCAGCCAACCUCCAUCUGUGGGAGUGGGUCACCAGGCCUCCUCCUCCUGGGUACCGGACGCCCUGUGAGGCCAAGGGACCCCACCCUGAGCCCAGCUGCCCCAAGAGGGAACACACUCCAUGACCCCGGAGGGGGCAAGAGUCUACUCAGGUGACAGCCACCUCCUGGGCAUGCCGUGCCAUUUCACAGACAGCAAAAGUGAGACUCAGAGGUCAAGAGACUCGCCCUAGGUCCCCUGGCAAAUAAGCAGAGCUGCUGGGAGUUGGGAGCCAGGUCGCUGGACCCCCCAGGCCAUGCCACGGGCCGAGAGGCGAGCGGCUUAGGGACAGCACUGGCCCAGAAGGUAUGAGGCCCUGGGUUGGAUCCCAGCACAACAGAACCCAACAACAAAAAGCCCGAAGGCCUGGGUAGGGACAGGGCCUGCAGCCGGAGGAGCAUCCAGCCACCAGGCUGCGGACGGGCAGGGCAGGACCCGACGCCGGCACAGCUAGGGGCUCCGUGAGGGGAGGAGCCAGCACCGAGCCACCCCACUCCUCUGGCUGACGGCGCCACACCAGGGCAGGCACACCUGUGCCCGCCAGCCAGAGCCUGUGAUUAUUUUUAGAGGGAUCCCCAGGUCAUCCGCCUGGAGGGAAGUGGCCGGACCUUCCCAGCCCCAGGGGACACAGGCCAGUGUUCUUUUCACCCUCAAAUGCUGUAGGAAGCCCUGCCCACCCCCCUUCACAGAGACCUCCAGGCCUGCAGCCCCUGGACCUCCCUGGCCCGGCCCGCGGAGGCAGGAAGGGACUUGGGCCGGCCGGGCGCAGUGGGCACUGGCGGGACUGAGGGCAGGUGAGGGAACAGCACGGGCAGAGCGCCACUCCCGUCCUCACAGGGCGCCUCGCUGACAGGCAAGUGCCUGCCUGGGCCCAAGUCCCCUCCCCAGGACUCUGGCUGCCCCCUCGAAGGGCACUGGAACUGUGCUGAGCCAGGGGUGGACCUGGGUUUCCAGCCUAAGAACGUGGGUGGCCUUGGGGGAGCCCGCGCCUGCUGUGUCCUGGUCUCCAUUACUUUCGAUGGGGUCACUAACGGCCCCCCAGCUGCUGGCAAGUUUCAGCGAGUCAGGACAGACAGCCAGACAGACUCGGUGUGAGAUGGACCUGAGAUGGACCCACGAAGGGGGACCGUGCUCCCGGCCCAGCCCAGUGACUGCCGCAGGAAUCUCCUGUGUCCACAGUGGCUGCUCGGCUCCUCUGAGGGGUCACAGCCCAGGGUCCCUGAUCCUGGGCAGAGGAUGGCCUGGCUCCUCUGCUUGCUGGGUCCUGCCCAGCUCCCCACCCUCGGGGCCACUUGCUGGGGGCCUCAGCCCAGAGAGACCAGCCACAGGGGCACGGGCAGGUCAGGGCCGUAGCCUGCUGCCCAUGCCAGCCAGCCUCACUGUUGCUAGGAGCAGCUGCUGGAAUGUUCCACUGGACCCCUGUCCCCACCGAGCUCCUGCCCACGUCCCCUGUGGGUGCUGCGAGCUUCACAUUUUUGUGGGCGCUGAGAGGCUCUGAUGAAAGGCAGGGGGUGGAGCGCUUGUCCCCACGCCCUCGGCGGGGGUGAGAAGGUGACGGGUGGGGAGUCAAUAUUUGUAGACCUCUUAGUGAAACAGCCAGGUGACCCUGUGUCCUGAGCUCAGGGCACAACGGCCAGCGCUUUAGGCCACGUCCUGCCACGUGACGCAGAGGAGCCAGGGCUAGCUUCGCCCCUGUGCUUUGGACAAGGAGACCGAGGCAGGGAGGGCGAAGGCCUGCCCAGGCCUCCCAGCUUACGAGGCCCAGCCAGGAGCCCAGCUCCGGAGGCCGGCAGGCACCUACGAGCUGGCACAUGCUGCUCUAUGUCCAGCAGGCGAGGAGGCUGGGCACGGAGACCCAAAGGAUGGGUCAAGUAGGCCAACAGGGGCUGCUGUCCAGGCCCUUGGGAGGAAGCAGACAGGCAGGGGAGGAGACUGGGGGAUGGACAGAGAGUCGCUGGACAUUUAUCUCACAGCACCACCCAGAACAGUGGGAGCACAGGCAAG